AGCAGCCGCGGUAAUUCCAGCUCCAAUAGCGUAUAUUAAAGUUGUUGCAGUUAAAAAGCUCGUAGUUGAAUUUCGGGGUUAGUACGCUGGUCAUGCCUUCGGUAUGUACUGGUGUUACCGAUUCCUACCUUCUGAAGAACCGUCAUGUCAUUAGUUUGGUGUGGCGGGGAAUCAGGACUGUUACUUUGAAAAAAUUAGAGUGUUUAAAGCAGGCUCGCGCUUGAAUACAUUAGCAUGGAAUAAUGAAAUAGGACGUUCGAUCCUAUUUUGUUGGUUUCUAGGAUUGACGUAAUGAUUAAUAGGGAUAGUUGGGGGCAUUAGUAUUCAAUUGUCAGAGGUGAAAUUCUUGGAUUUAUUGAAGACUAACUACUGCGAAAGCAUUUGCCAAGGAUGUUUUCAUUAAUCAAGAACGAAAGUUAGGGGAUCGAAGACGAUCAGAUACCGUCGUAG
rnacentral:rRNA from 1 species